rnacentral:snRNA from 1 species
CUACUUACUGGCAGGGGUGAUCCAUGAUCACAGGGUGGGUUUGGCCCGGGCGGGCUGUCCAUUGACAUCCGGACUUGCUGAACUCGGUUGAAUUCGACACCGUUCGAUCUCCACUGCACAUUUCUGGUAGUGGGGGACUGCGUUCGCAGCUCUCCC